CUUUCUUUCUCUCUCAACCCCUGUCCCUCUUUACACACAAAUAGCCUACUCUCUCCCUCACUCAGACUUUCUCUCGCCCAUUCUCUCUCUCUCUCUCUUCAUACUUGGCCGAGCUCAAAAGAAGGGGACAUAACAGAAUGAAAGGAGAUGGAUUUUUCGACGAGAUGUGAGGGGAAAGGUGAAAUUAGCAACUCUUAGCCUACGUUGCCCCUAUGUGAAACGACAAUCUUAAUUGUUCAACAGAAUGAAUGAAUAAGAACGGCGUCUAUCAACAAGGAAUCUUCUAGCUUGGAUGGCAGGAUAGAGGAGGGAACAAAAGGAAGGAGUACAGAAGUUAUCCUAACUAAGAAAUUUCCUGAAAAAUGUCAAUGACCUGAUGCAUGUCCUCUACAGCAGUGCUUGGCCACACACUCAGUGGAAAGGAGAGAGCAGCACCACCACUCCUUAAAUCAAUAGUCAAGUUUUGUGUUUUUUUUUUUUUUCUGUUUGAUACUCUGAUCUUCAAUGUGUAUUGAUUCCUACUAGCCAGCUUUGUAAGAGCUAGGUUUGUACUAGCUAUGUUAAUGAUCAUUACAGUUUUUUUCUCUGCAUCAGGAGAGAAACUGGAUUCCCCAAGAGAAAAAAGAUGCCAUCUAGAACCUAAAAGGGUUUAUCAAAAAAAGUGCCAUCAAGAACCUAAAAGGGUUCUCAGCUGUCACCGUGAAGAAAAGGAUGGAGGUUUUUACAUAUUUUUACUGACCAGAAUAUUAAGUAUUUUUCUGGCCAUGAUACAACCAGUUGGUUGUAAUUGUGACCUCUAUCUGACCAGCUGGUCAUAGUUUUGACCACUAUUAUGUGCUAUAUUAUGUACUGGUCAUAGUUAAGACCUCAUCGUAACCUGGUAAUGACCACCUGACUACUCAAGUUGGAUAUUGAAAACAUUUCAUAUUGAUUUGUUUACAUAGGCACCAAUUAAAGUUUAAAUCUGCAACAUAUUCUCACAUUUAAAAUAGAUCAAGUAAUGGCAAAAACAAAUCAUAACUCACCCACAGACAUUACAUGCAUAGAAAUACUGGGAAACAGACGAUAUAAUGGCCCAUUGUAUUUAAAAAAAAAAAAAGAUUAAUAAGAGUGGUGUGAUGGGGUAGAUCAUCAUCAAUUCCACCGUCCGCAACCACAGGGCUCUCCAGACAAUGGUGUGGUCAGCCCAAUGCAUGCCUGCCCUCCAGGACAUCUACAGCAUCCGGGGUCACAGAAUGGCCAAGUGUAACGGCUCUCUUCUCUCUCCUCCUCUGACGAAGAGGUAGAACAAGGAUCAGACCAAAAUGCAGCGUGAUGAUGAUUCAUGAUAUAUUUUAAUGAAGGAAAACCUAUACAACAGAAACUACAAAAAUAACGAAAUGAAAUAAUGAAAACCGAAACAGCCCUAUCUGGUGCAAACACAAAGACAGGAACAAUCACCCACGAAACACUCACAGAAUAUGGCUGCCUAAAUAUGGUUCCCAAUCAGAGACAACGAUAAUCACCUGACUCUGAUUGAGAACCGCCUCAGGCAGCCAUAGACUAUGUAGACACCCCACAAAACCCCUAAGACAAAAACACACCACAAUAACCCAUGUCACACCCUGGCCUGACCAAAUAAAUAAAGAAAACACAAAAUACUAAGACCAAGGCGUGACAGAACC